rnacentral:rRNA from 1 species
CCUACGGGAGGCAGCAGUGGGGAAUAUUGCACAAUGGGCGCAAGCCUGAUGCAGCCAUGCCGCGUGUAUGAAGAAGGCCUUCGGGUUGUAGAGUACUUUCAGCGGGGAGGAAGGCGAUAAGGUUAAUAACCUUGUCGAUUGACGUUACCGGCAGAAGAAGCACCGGCUAACUCCGUGCCAGCAGCCGCGGUAAUACGGAGGGUGCAAGCGUUAAUCGGAAUUACUGGGCGUAAAGCGCACGCAGGCGGUCUGUCAAGUCGGAUGUGAAAUCCCCGGGCUCAACCUGGGAACUGCAUUCGAGACUGGCAGGCUAGAGUCUUGUAGAGGGGGGUAGAACUCCAGGUGUAGCGGUGAAAUGCGUAGAGAUCUGGAGGAAUACCGGUGGCGAAGGCGGCCCCCUGGACAAAGACUGACGCUCAGGUGCGAAAGCGUGGGGAGCAAACAGGAUUAGAUACCCCCGUAGUC